rnacentral:misc_RNA from 1 species
CCUGAAUACUUCCCCAGGCAAAUACAUUUGAUUUUCCUAAGAAAAUGACAAAUCUUUAACUAGUUUUUCUCUUGUCAGAUCUUUUUCAUGACUUCAUCUAACAAACAAAUUACUCACAUAUCUAACGGCCCAAAUGCAUCAUCAGAGUAUUGUGGAUCUCCUAUAAUGGAAUCAAACUUUGGUCUUGCAGGUUGACCUCUCCCGAGAGGGAAGUUCCAAAAGGAAUCAGAAUUCUCAAAGAAAAUGUAAAAUGCAACAGCGGACGCCAAAAAUAGCCCUACAAGCAACAAAUAAAUCUGCCAUUCUUUCCAAUCUGCAGGAACAUUUAGCUUAGUCACCACGGCCCCCCAUUCAUUGGAAGUGCUUAGUACAACCCUUUGAUUGGGACAGAACUCUAGGGAUGUCAUGCAUGUACCCAAGUGCAGCCUCUUGCUAUAGUGCUUAACCUCCAUUUUCUUUACUUCAGCUACACAAAUGUCCCCAUCCUUGCUUCCUAGAGCAAGAUAUUUCCCAUCCUGGCUGACAGACAUUACACAAGCAGGUUUCUUAAGCAGCCUCUUAUACCCUAUUUUAUUCCAUGUACUUAUGUCGUAAACAGCAGUAAUAGCUUUGUCACCUCUUUGAACAGCACAGAAUAAAAAUGGUUUUGUCCCAUCCUUAGAGAACCGACAUAAUUCAAUCUUCUCAUCCGAUUUGCGAGAUAAAGUAGUUACAGGCACACCAUCUUCCAUAUUCCAUAUUCUCGCAGAACCAUCAGAAGAUGUUGAUGCUAAAAAUGCUGAAUCCAGGCUAAUAUCCAUAUCCCUGAAGGAUUUGUGUGCUGUUGGUUCAUCUAAAAUUAUGCGUUGGCUAGGCCACUCCAAAAUUCUGAGAUGCCCAUCCACCCCACCAGUAACAAAUCUAGAUCCAUCAACACUAAAGGCUAGGCAUUUUUGUGGACCAACAUCUUGUAAAGGAGGUAAUUGUUUUGCCAACACCUUCAAAUUUGUUUCUUCAUUACGCAACUCAAACAAUUUGCAGCCACCUUUGGUUGUAGAACACACAAUAUCAUCCCCACUGGGAUGUACAGCAAUUGUUACUGGAUCACCUUCAGUUCCUUCAAGCACAUGCGUAGCCAAGGGAGAGGAAGAGAUAGACGUAGUAUCG